CAGCCGCCGCGGUAACACAGAGGGUGCAAGCGUUAAUCGGAAUUACUGGGCGUAAAGCGCGCGUAGGUGGUUUGUUAAGUUGGAUGUGAAAUCCCCGGGCUCAACCUGGGAACUGCAUCCAAAACUGGCAAGCUAGAGUAUGGUAGAGGGUGGUGGAAUUUCCUGUGUAGCGGUGAAAUGCGUAGAUAUAGGAAGGAACACCAGUGGCGAAGGCGACCACCUGGACUGAUACUGACACUGAGGUGCGAAAGCGUGGGGAGCAAACAGGAUUAGAUACCCGCGAGUCCCUGUCUCUUAUACA
rnacentral:rRNA from 1 species